rnacentral:rRNA from 1 species
CCUACGGGAGGCAGCAGUGAGGAAUAUUGGUCAAUGGGCGGAAGCCUGAACCAGCCAAGUAGCGUGCGGGAUGCAGGCCCUACGGGUCGUAAACCGCUUUUGCACGGGGAUAACACCCUCCACUUGUGGAGGUCUGCAGGUACCGUGCGAAUAAGGGCCGGCUAAUUCCGUGCCAGCAGCCGCGGUAAUACGGAAGGCCCGAGCGUUAUCCGGAUUCAUUGGGCGUAAAGGGAGGGUAGGAGGGCGGUCAAGUCAGCGGUAAAAUCGCGCGGCUCAACCGCGCUCCGCAGUUGAAACUGGACGCCUUGAUUUAACAACAGGCAGGCGGAAGUCGGGGGGUAGCGGUGAAAUGCAUAGAUAUCACGAGGAACCCCGAUUGCGAAGGCAGCCUGCCGGGGUGCGACUGACGCUGAGGCUCGAAGGUGCGGGUAUCAAACAGGAUUAGAUACCCUUGUAGUC